rnacentral:rRNA from 1 species
UACGUAGGUGGCAAGCGUUGUUCGGAUUCAUUGGGCGUAAAGGGUGUGUAGGUGGCGCCGUAAGUCGGGUGUGAAAUCUCGGGGCUUAACUCCGAAACUGCAUUCGAUACUGCGGUGCUUGAGGACUGGAGGGGAGACUGGAAUUCAUGGUGUAGCAGUGAAAUGCGUAGAGAUCAUGAGGAAGACCAGUGGCGAAGGCGGGUCUCUGGACAGUUCCUGACACUGAGACACGAAGGCCAGGGGAGCAAACGGG